rnacentral:rRNA from 1 species
GACGAACGCUGGCGGCGUGCCUAACACAUGCAAGUCGAGCGAAUGAAGUUCUUUCGGGAAUGGAUUUAGCGGCGGACGGGUGAGUAACACGUGGGCAACCUGCCUCAUAUAGGGGAAUAGCCUUCCGAAAGGGAGAUUAAUACCGCAUAAGAUAGCAGUACCGCAUGGUACAGCAAUUAAAGGAGCAAUCCGCUAUGAGAUGGGCCCGCGGCGCAUUAGCUAGUUGGUGAGGUAACGGCUCACCAAGGCGACGAUGCGUAGCCGACCUGAGAGGGUGAUCGGCCACAUUGGGACUGAGACACGGCCCAGACUCCUACGGGAGGCAGCAGUGGGGAAUAUUGCACAAUGGGGGAAACCCUGAUGCAGCAACGCCGCGUGAGUGAUGACGGCCUUCGGGUUGUAAAGCUCUGUCUUCAGGGACGAUAAUGACGGUACCUGAGGAGGAAGCCACGGCUAACUACGUGCCAGCCGCCGCCGUAACAC